rnacentral:rRNA from 1 species
GUUGACCUCGGAUCAGGUAGGAAUACCCGCUGAACCUAAGCAUAUCAAUAAGCGGAGGAAAAGAAACCAACAGGGAUUGCCCUAGUAACGGCGAGUGAAGCGGCAACAGCUCAAAUUUGAAAUCUGGCCCCCGGGUCCGAGUUGUAAUUUGUAGAGGAUGCUUUUGGCGAGGUGCCUUCCGAGUUCCCUGGAACGGGACGCCAUAGAGGGUGAGAGCCCCGUCUGAUCGGACACCGAGCCUCUGUAAAGCUCCUUCGACGAGUCGAGUAGUUUGGGAAUGCUGCUCAAAAUGGGAGGUAUAUGUCUUCUAAAGCUAAAUAUUGGCCAGAGACCGAUAGCGCACAAGUAGAGUGAUCGAAAGAUGAAAAGCACUUUGAAAAGAGGGUUAAAAAGUACGUGAAAUUGUUGAAAGGGAAGCGCCUAUGACCAGACUUGGGCCCGGUGAAUCACCCAGCGUUCUCGCUGGUGCACUUCGCCGGGCACAGGCCAGCAUCAGUUUGGCGCGGGGGAGAAAGGCUUCGGGAAUGUGGCUCCCCUGGGAGUGUUAUAGCCCGUUGCGCAAUACCCUGCGCUGGACUGAGGUACGCGCAUUCGCAAGGAUGCUGGCGUAAUGGUCAUCAGCGACCCGUCUUGAAACACGGACCAAGGAGUCGUCUUCGUAUGCGAGUGUUCGGGUGUCAAACCCCUACGCGUAAUGAAAGUGAACGCAGGUGAGAGCUUCGGCGCAUCAUCGACCGAUCCUGAUGUUCUCGGAUGGAUUUGAGUAAGAGCAUACGGGGCCGGACCCGAAAGAAGGUGAACUAUGCCUGUAUAGGGUGAAGCCAGAGGAAACUCUGGUGGAGGCUCGCAGCGGUUCUGACGUGCGAAUCGAUCGUCAAAUAUGGGCAUGGGGGCGAAAGACUAAUCGAACCUUCUAGUAGCUGGUUUCCGCCGAAGUUUCCCUCAGGAUAGCAGUGUUGAACUCAGUUUUAUGAGGUAAAGCGAA